rnacentral:rRNA from 1 species
UAUAACAGCGAAUUCGCAUCGUGUUUCAGGGAGUUGAGCCUGGUCAGUACCUGGAUGGGAGACCUCCUGGGAAAACUAGGUUGCUGCUGGAA